rnacentral:lncRNA from 1 species
CCCUCGUCUCUUAGGUUUCCAAAAUAUCUCCACCUAUGGACUGCAUGGAACUUCUAUAUAUUUGAUUUCAUUACUACCUUGUGCUACAUCACGAAUCAUGGAAGAAUCCUAACAUGGUGGUCACUAAAAUGAGUGAACAUCAUCAGAAAUAUUUGAGUACAUGGGAGUUAAUCCAUCCACUUGAAGCACAACUAAUGAUACAUUUCAAACUGCAAUGGUCCCAGAACACAACAAAAGAGACACAUGCAUAUCUAGUGUUACAUUGCAUGAGAGAGACGGUCAUUUUUGGGCACAACAUGGGCAAGACUAAUUAUGAAUGACUAAAAUAAUCAUGGCUCAACAAGCAUUGUCAUUGAAAAUGCAUCAACUUGGCAAGCCUGAUGGUACACAACAGGAAAGCAGCCUUUGCCUCCACUUCUAGUGCUUCUCGUUCAUCAAGCUUCUUGUGCUGGCACAGAUAAGACCUAACCAAUAUGAUUCAGUUAGCACAUGUUCGUUUAAGAAUCAUAAGUUCAUACUUAUUUAUUUAUUUACUAAUGAGCUAAUUAAAUGAAUAUGCAUCAACAAUACCAGCUACUGUGAUGUGUAAAUAAAGAAAAAAAAACACAUUCAUCCAAAACACUCUGAAAGUACUUGCCAAUAAUGAAACAAAUUGUGUAAUCAUUAGUUAUCUUGUACAAGAAAAGACCAAUCUAGUGCAUUCUAUUUCAUAUUUCCAUAUAGAGAGAUUCACAAACAACCGGUGGAAUCAGGCAUUGCAACUAUUUAAAUAUAAAGUUGAGAGAAACUCGAACUCACAUGCUUCCCAUUCUAAUUUCUAAGCAUGCUCUUUUGUUUAAUGUCUAUGUCAUUUUUAGAACUGCGAAUAUGAGAACCAAAAUGCAUCCUGUGACUCAAAAUAGACAGAUUACAAGCAUUUGCUUCAAAAGUUUGACUAAUCUAGUAUCUGGUUGGUUUUUUUUGAAGUAUUCUCUAUUGAGUUAUUUGUGAGACUCGGCACACAUGUUGAUUUCAAAGGCUCUUAGAGAGUAUAGCAUACAAAUAGGUUCAGUUCUUUAAAAAAGUUCACAAGAAAUGGAAAGAGACUUAGUAUCAUGCCUUGAAUUAUGUUUCGUGGUUCCUCCCUUUGCAAUAUUGCUUGUGAUGUUGUUUACUGGUAAUCUGGUGCAGCUGUAUAUAUGCAUAUAGCGAAGUACCUACCUGAUCUACAUGUCGAAGAUUUGAAGAGAGCUUCAUAGUUUUCAUCUUAAAGAUAAGAACAUAAUCAAGCUCUGAUACACCUUUUUUUUUGUGAUGAUGUGUCUUAAAUGACCAUCUCAAUAUUAAGUGUUUAUGAGAGGACCUAUGUUGUGAUCAUACUGCUGUUAAUGUUAUUAUUUCUGAUGCAUACUUGAAUAACCUGGGGGAGGUCUGGUGAAGAUAUGGACAGAUUAAGCAAUGUUAGUACUUGGUAAAACUAACAGAGCAUGUGUUGUGAAAGGAGAACAUGCUAUUACUGGAAAAUUCUGGAGUAACAUGAAUCCAGAUUUUGAUAUGCCGACAGACCAAUUUCAUUGUUCUUACGUAGUAGAAUCAAUUUACUUUCUUUCCAGGCUUUCAAGUUGUCAAGUCUGUAUACGAAACUGCAGAUACUAAUCUUUUUACUGAAUUGUCCUAACUCCAAGACACUGAGAUUAUCUAACCGUGGUUCUCCAGAGUACUUUAGUGAAGCAAAACUUCCAAAUCAGAGUACCAAACCACCUAGAACAGUAGCAAUACCUCAUCAAAUCGAAGUUAUUAAAAUGCAUCAUUCACACAUGAGCAGAUUUGACAAGAACAGGUACAAGAAAAUAGAAGUACAGAGAUGCAGCACAAAUUUCCUUGACAGUAAAAUUGGGAUAUAGCACAAAGGUACUAACAAAUAAAGUUAAGAUCUACUGUAUUUACCAGGAAAAUGAACCACCGUGUUGACGAUAUGUAGGUUUAGCCAGUCGGGAAGGAGCCGAGGGAACCACACUGGCUUGUCGUCGACGAGGGGAGGAAGACGCGAGCUGAUCUGGAGCCUGGGAGAGGAGGAGGAGGCAACGAACCCAACGCAACCGGAGCUUCAGAUGGGAGGCCGCGAUGAGAACACUACGGGGCGAAGCUUAGGAGCCGAUGAGCUCCGAUCUGCACCGCCUCAAACUGGGCCACCGGCGACGCAACGUCGAGGAGCCAUCGGACAGAUGGAACAGCAGGGUGAACUUGCCCUGCUUGGAGAAGGG